GGUAAAGCACUGUUUCGAUACGGGCUGCGAAAGCGGUACCAAGUCGUGGCAAACUCAGAAUACGGUAGGGGAGCGUUCUACUUCGGGUGAAGCUUUCACGGAAGUGAUGGUGGACGAGGUAGAAGCGAGAAUGUCGGCUUGAGUAACGAAAACAUUGGUGAGAAUCCAAUGCCCCGAAAACCUAAGGGUUCCUUUGCAAGGCUCGUCCGCGAAGGGUGAGUCAGGACCUAAGACUAGGCCAAAAGGCGUCGUCGAUGGCAAACAGGUUAAUAUUCCUGUACUGAUUGUUUUUGUGGUACCGAGGGACGAAGGAGGCUAAGCUGUAGCUGUUUUUGGAUUGCAGCGGAAGCAAUCAAUCACCUGUACCUGAAUCCGACACAGGUAGGUAGGUAGAGAAUACCAAGGGGCGCGAGAGAACUCUCUCUAAGGAACUCGGCAAACUGGCCCCGUAACUUCGGAAGAAGGGGCGCCCUCACUCUUUUAUUAUUAUUAUAUAGGAUGGAGGGUCGCAGUUAUCAGGUUCAGGCGACUGUUUGUAACUAUGACGAUCCUAAGGUAAGCGAAAUUCAUUGCCAAGUAAGUUUUGGCCUGCACGAAAGGCGUAACGAUCUGAACGCUGUCUCGGAGAGAGACUCGGUGAAAUAGACUUGUCCGUGAAGAUGCGGACUCCCUGCACCUGGACAGAAAGACCCUAUGAAGCUUGACUGUAUCCUGGAAUUGGGUUCGGGCUUUUCUUGCGCAGUCUAGGUGGGAGGCGUUGAAGGCUCCUUUCCGGAGGAGCUAGAGCCGUCAUUGAGAGACCACUCUGGAAAGGCUAGAAUCCUAAUGGUGUUCCUUGAAUCAGGACACUUGACAGUUUCAGGGGGGCAGUUUGACUGGGGCGGUCGCCUCCUAAAAGGUAACGGAGGCGUGCAAAGGUUCCCUCAGCCUGGACGGAAAUCAGGCAUUGAGUGUAAAGGCAAAAGGGAGCUUGACUGCAAGACCUACAAGUCGAGCAGGGGCGAAAGCCGGCCUUAGUGAUCCGACGGUGCCGAGUGGAAGGGCCGUCGCUCAACGGAUAAAAGUUACUCUAGGGAUAACAGGCUAAUCUUUUCAGAGAGUCCAUAUCGACGAAAAGGUUUGGCACCUCGAUGUCGGCUUAUCACAACCUGGGGCGGUAGUACGUCCCAAGGGUUGGGCUGUUCGCCCAUUAAAGUGGUACAUGAGCUGGGUUCAGAACGUCGU
rnacentral:rRNA from 1 species